AUUGAACGCUGGCGGCAUGCCUUACACAUGCAAGUCGAACGGCAGCACGGGGCAACCUGGUGGCGAGUGGCGAACGGGUGAGUAAUGCAUCGGAACGUACCUUUCAGUGGGGGAUAACGUAGCGAAUGCUACGCUAAUACCGCAUAUUCUGUGAGCAGGAAAGCAGGGGGUCGCAAGACCUUGCGCUGAUUGAGCGGCCGAUGUCAGAUUAGCUAGUUGGUGAGGUAAAGGCUCACCAAGGCGACGAUCUGUAGCGGGUCUGAGAGGAUGAUCCGCCACACUGGAACUGAGACACGGUCCAGACUCCUACGGGAGGCAGCAGUGGGGAAUUUUGGACAAUGGGGGCAACCCUGAUCCAGCCAUGCCGCGUGAGUGAAGAAGGCCUUCGGGUUGUAAAGCUCUUUCGGCCGGGAAGAAAUCGCACGGGCUAAUACCCUGUGUGGAUGACGGUACCGGAAUAAGAAGCACCGGCUAACUACGUGCCAGCAGCCGCCGUAACAC
rnacentral:rRNA from 1 species